GACAGAGGGGGCAAGCGUUGCUCGGAAUCACUGGGCGUAAAGGGCGCGUAGGCGGGAUGGCAAGUCGGUCGUGAAAUCCUUCGGCUCAACCGAAGAACGUCGGCCGAUACUGCCGUUCUUGAGGGAUGCAGAGGAGAUUGGAAUUCCCGGUGUAGCGGUGAAAUGUGUAGAGAUCGGGAGGAACCCCGGUGGCGGAGGCGGGUCUCUGGGCAUCUCCUGACGCUGAGGCGCGAAAGCGUGGGGAGCAAACGGG
rnacentral:rRNA from 1 species